rnacentral:rRNA from 1 species
AUGAAUUUUUUCACCGAAUGCCUUCGACAUGAUGAGAAGCUACACCCAAAACAGUACUCGAUUGACUGGUCUAAGAGUUUAAGCUCAUUUGAAGAACGACAUUUUCCCGGGGGUCAUACAUCGAUUCAACGCCUGAGCGAUGCUUUCAACACAGUUACUCGUGGAGAGUUUUAUGAUUUUUCUGAAUGGCCUAUCUGGAGCAAGGAUGUUCCUCGACAACAAGGCAAUGAUUGUCCCAUUUUCACUACAAAGUUCUUGCGCCACUAUGACGGCGAAGUUGGUCAGCUCCGUUGUAACAUUAAGCUGGAAAAGGUUAGUCAGUACAGGGAUGAAUUUCUCCCCUAUAUCUUGUUCCAUGAGUUGAAUGAAACAAAUCCCUUACCCACCUCGCUGGAGGAUUUCAGGCACAAAAAAUAUGAUUUAAAUUAG